GGUGGGGUUCCCGAGCGGCCAAAGGGAGCAGACUCUAAAUCUGCCGUCAUCGACUUCGAAGGUUCGAAUCCUUCCCCCACCACCA
rnacentral:tRNA from 5 species